rnacentral:lncRNA from 1 species
GGUCAUCAGUUACACUAGGUUAUGUACUUCCUUUUGGUGAUAAAUAAACAAUGUCCUGCCAAUUAGAGAAAGUUUUUUUUACACCGAAAUAAAGUUCUCUUUCACAAUAUAUAGGGUAGUACUCACUUUAAAAAAAAAAAGAAGUCGACACUCUAAACUUUGAACACCAUUAUACGAAAAAUAUAAGAAUUGAGCCUGCAAAAGGUAAUAUAAUUGUGUUUGUCUGGCAAAUACUCAGAUCUCCUGUUUAUACUAACUUUAUUACUCUCUCCGUUCCUAAAAUACUUGUCGUUGUUUUAGUGCAAACUUAAACUAAAACAUGGAACUGAAGGAGUAUAUAUUUAGCAUUGUCUCA